UUAUGAAAUUGUGAAAGACCCCUAGAGCGGGGAGACUCUCACUCAAGUCUCGGGAUGAUGCGACCCCCCAAGAACUCACGUGAGACC
rnacentral:pre_miRNA from 14 species